AUUGAACGCUGGCGGCAAGCCUAACACAUGCAAGUCGAACGAGUGGCGGACGGGUGAGUAAUGUCUGGGAAACUGCCUGAUGGAGGGGGAUAACUACUGGAAACGGUAGCUAAUACCGCAUACCAUCGGAUGUGCCCAGAUGGGAUUAGCUAGUAGGUGGGGUAAAGGCUCACCUAGGCGACGAUCCCUAGCUGGUCUGAGAGGAUGACGGGCGACAGGGGAACUGAGACACGGUACAGCGCCCAACGGGUGGAAGAAGUGGGUAGUUUUGGAAAAUGGGCGAAAGCUGGAGGAGGCAAGGCCGGGUGGAGUAAGAAGGCCUGCGGGCUGUAAAGUACUUUGAGCGGGGAGGCGUUACCCGAAGAAGAAGCACCGGCUAACUCCGUGCCAGCAGCCGCGGUAAUAC
rnacentral:rRNA from 1 species